AAACCGCUAGCGGAUUUGCUGCACGAAAACUAUUCUUUCACAACACCUAACAGAGGAAAACAGCCUUUUCAGUGUUUAAACGCGUCAGCGUUUUCAUUUAACAUCUGAGCCACAUGACCACAAGUCUAUCAGUCAUGUGAAUGCUGCCCAUAUGACACGCAGCGUUUCCCGUUCAGCUGAAUGAAUACAGACGGUCGGUAUAAUCAUUCGAAAACUGCAUUCGCGCACAUAUGCACUUUAAAACCUUGCAAGUCCAUAGAAUGCAAUACACUUCAAUGGAAUAAUGCAUUCAGACUGUAUUUUUGAAAGCCUAAUUUUUCCUACGAAGUCAAACAAUGGCAAACAAGUACUCUAAAAGACACACGAAACAAGUCGCACUGGAAAAUGAAACUGAGCAAGCAUCACUUGCACUGACUGUAGAGAAGCAUCAAAGACAAGGCCAAGUGGAGGUGAUCUCUGGGUCAGCAUGGCAGGGCUUCAGGAGGAAAGUGUGUCUGCUGGUGCCAUACAUGUGGCCCAGGGGAAGUGUGGGGUUGCAGGCUCUGGUGAUUCUGUGUGUUGGGCUGCUGGGACUUGAGCGGGUCAUCAAUGUGUUUGUACCCAUUUACAGCAGGAAUAUAGUGAACCAGCUGUCAGCAAUGGAGAGCUGGAGAACCCUGGCCAUCACGGUCUGUGUUUACGUCCUCCUUAAGUUCUUCCAGGGCGGAGGGGUAGGGACAUCAGGGUUUGUCAGUAACUUGCGCAGCUUCCUGUGGACUUAUGUCCAGCAGUACACCAGCCGUGUGGUGCAGGUCCGUCUUUUCACUCACCUGCAUGACCUCUCUCUACGCUGGCACCUGGGCCGCCGCACUGGAGAUGUCCUGCGCAGCAUUGACCGUGGAACCUCCUCCGUGAACAACUUGUUAAGCUAUAUUGUGUUCAGCAUUGUACCCACUAUUGCUGACAUCAUCAUUGCCAUCAUCUAUUUUGUGACGUACUUCAGUGCCUGGUUCGGCCUCAUUGUUUUCAUUUGCAUGUUUCUCUACCUCACUAUCACCAUAAUUAUCACUGAAUGGAGGACCAAGUACAGGCGGGAAAUGAACACACAGGACAACAUUGCCAAGUCAAAAGCAGUGGACUCUCUUCUCAACUUUGAAACCGUAAAGUACUAUAAUUCAGAGGGUUUUGAAGUCAGGCGCUUUGAGGAUGCUAUCCUGAAAUAUCAGGCAUGUGAAUGGAAGACCAACGCUUCCCUGGCUCUCCUGAACCAAACCCAGAACCUGAUUAUUGGAUUUGGCCUGUUGGCCGGAUCCCUGCUUUGUGCAUACUAUGUUACAGUGGACAAGUUUCAAGUUGGUGACUAUGUUCUUUUUGGAACCUACAUUAUUCAGCUCUACACUCCACUCAACUGGUUUGGUACAUAUUAUAGAAUGAUCCAAAGUGCAUUUGUUGACAUGGAGAGCAUGUUUGAACUGCUAACCGAGGAAAAAGAGGUAAAGGAUGAUGUGAAUGCAGGAGACCUUUUGUUCACAGAAGGAAGGGUUGAUUUCCAGAACGUGUGCUUUAGUUACACUGCUGGGAAAGAAAUUCUCAGUGAAGUCUCAUUCACAGUGAUGCCUGGUCAGACAGUUGCACUGGUUGGUCCAUCCGGAUCAGGAAAAAGCACCAUCAUCCGUUUGCUUUUCCGUUUUUAUGACGUGCAGGGUGGCUGCAUCCUCAUCGAUGGUCAGGACAUCUCUAAGGUGAAACAGAACUCUCUCCGAUCCUACGUUGGUGUAGUUCCUCAGGACACUGUUCUUUUCAAUGAUAACAUCCGUGAAAACAUUCGCUAUGGACGCAUCUCUGCAAGUGACCAAGAAGUAGAAGAGGCUGCAGUGGCUGCUGAUAUCCACCAUAAGAUAUUAUCCUUUCCAGACGGAUAUGAUACUGAGGUGGGUGAAAGGGGUCUGAAGUUGAGCGGAGGGGAGAAACAGAGAGUGGCCAUUGCUCGCACAAUCCUAAAAUCCCCUCGCAUUAUUUUGCUUGAUGAAGCUACAUCUGCUUUGGACAGUCAAACAGAGCGUAACAUUCAGGCUUCUCUCGCUAAGGUGUGUGCCAACCACACCACUCUGGUCGUGGCACACAGGUUAUCCACCAUCAUCAAGGCCGAUCAGAUCCUGGUUCUUCAUGACGGGCGGAUAGCAGAACAAGGAAGGCACGAGGAGCUGCUGGCCAUGGGGGGACUGUACGCAGCCAUGUGGUUAAAACAGCAGCAAACCCCAGAGUCAGAGGUCUCUACAGAUGAACAACCGCAGGAGCCACAGCAGAGUGGCUGAAGCUGAUGGAGCAGCGAUGAUGAAUGGUGAUGGGUGAAAUCAAUCAGGAAAAUGGUAAAAGAGUCCAUCUCAGACACAGGGGCACCAGACUGCACAAAAGUAAUAAACUAAGAAGAGUGUUUCUCAGGGAAAGGUGUCAUUAAAAAUCUACCAAUCAUUGAGUACCUCUAAAUAUGUUAAAGGGUUAGUUCACCCUAAAAUGAAAAUGGUCCUCAUUUACUCAUUACCCUCAUUUUGUUCCAAACUUGUAUGACUCUUUUAUUCUGUGCAAAAUAAAAGUAGAUACUGUGUUUUGAUUUUGAGUGUUGGCAACCAGUGGUUCCCAUUGACUUUCAUUGCAUGCACAAAAACCACUGACAUUUCUCUUCUUUUAUGCCUCACAAAAAAAGUCAUACAGGUAAAUAAUGACAGCAUUUUCAUUUUUGGUGAAUUUUCCCUGUAAUGCUUAGGAAACAGCAUUAGUAUAAAAAUACUGUCAUGUGAUGACUAUAUUCAGUCAUUUCUGUUACAUUGGUUUUUUCUUUAUAUUACAUGUAACACAUUUGUUUACACUUCUAUCCAUCACUGUAAACUGAGGAGAUGUAGAGGAAUCUCUGUCGUCUACAUACGGGAAUUAAGUAGCCUAAUACCACACACAGGAUUUUGGGAAAUCCUAGCCAAUGAAGGAGAAGGACACAUCAAAUUUCCCUUCAAAUAUUCACCAGAUGAAGGCAUCUCAGUAGAUGGGAAUUUCACACAAAUAAUUGGAU